UACGUAGGGGGCAAGCGUUGUCCGGAAUUACUGGGCGUAAAGCGUGCGCAGGCGGCUUUGCAAGACAGAUGUGAAAUCCCCGGGCUUAACCUGGGAACUGCAUUUGUGACUGCAUGGCUGGAGUGCGGCAGAGGGGGAUGGAAUUCCGCGUGUAGCAGUGAAAUGCGUAGAUAUCGAGAGGAACACCUGCGGCGAAGGCGGGUUGCUGGGCUGACACUGACGCUGAAGCGCGAAAGCUAGGGGAGCGAACGGG
rnacentral:rRNA from 1 species